CGAACGCUGGCGGCGUGCUUAAUACAUGCAAGUCGUGCGAGAAAGUCCGAUUUCGGUUGGGCGAGUAAAGCGGCGAACGGGUGAGUAACACGUGGACAAUCUGCCCUUAAGUCUGGGAUAAUCUCCCGAAAGGGGGUCUAAUACCGGGUAAUAUCACGAGAUGGCAUCAUCUUGUGAUCAAAGGCGGGGCAACCUGCCGCUUAGGGAUGAGUCCGCGUUCCAUUAGCUUGUUGGUGGGGUAACGGCCUACCAAGGCGACGAUGGAUAGCCGACCUGAGAGGGUGACCGGCCACACUGGGACUGAGAUACGGCCCAGACUCCUACGGGAGGCAGCAGUAGGGAAUAUUGCGCAAUGGACGAAAGUCUGACGCAGCAACGCCGCGUGGGUGAUGAAGCAUCUUGGUGCGUAAAACCCUGUCAGUGGGGAAGAAACGCAUAGGGAGUAACUGCCCUGUGCCUGACGGUACCCGCAGAGGAAGUUCCGGCUAACUCC
rnacentral:rRNA from 1 species